AAUAGGAAGAAACGAACUCGAGAGGAAACUGCGAACAUGAAGAACACGAAACUUAAAGAAACUGCGUUAAAAAUGCAGCUGAUGCUAACCGUCGAGUGGGAUGAGGCACUGGGACCAUCGUGGUGGUUAGAGCUGGACACAAGUUAUGAUCCCAAACAAGUGGAAGUGACAUCUGAUAUACUUCAUUUUAAAGGAGGAAGACACAAAGGUCAAUGUUGCUUCCGGAGCCCAGGUCAUUGAAGAUACCCGCAGCAAUGGCGUCACGCACCGACCGUUUGGCCUUAUCACCAAGGACAAAGUAGACUAUAUCAGACCCUAUGAGGUGGUCUGCAAGAAGGAUGACAGUUUCCGUCUUCAAGUGGACGGAGUUCUGAAAGUUUACUGAGGACGACUUAUUUUCAAGGACAGUUCACAGAUGUGUUUGAGCCUCGGAACAAGGUGAACAGGAUGUCUCCUGCCCCGGCACACGGUUUAUCUUCAUGAUGGAUGGAGAAAAGUCCACAGACUCAACCUGAGAGCUGACGAGGUGUUGGACCAGAGGAGCUUGUCUGAUCGAUGGUGAACAUCAUCAACGAUACACAACCACUGAGUUUCUCCAGGAGACAUCUUGAAGCCCUACAGCUGUGUUCUCGUCUCUGUCCUGGUGAGGCGCACCAGGGGGAGUCCGGCUCGAUAUCUGUCUUCAAAUAAACUUUGGUUUUACUGUCAUAACCACAACUUUCAAGGUUCAGACCCAAACUCUCAUGUACUAGUAUCUACUGUGAGAGACCAAACUGUUUCUCUAGUGUCCAGCUGUUAAGGAACCUAUUGACUCAAGCUUCUUUGCAAUGGGUUUUAUUUUUUUGUGUGUUUUCAUCAAUGGUCCCAGUUCAUCAGGUAUAUCUGCAUCGUCCCAGUGGGUUUGUCACAGUUCAGAGGGAAAGAAACGAGACCAGUUAAUUGUGUUUCAAGUAAUUCUAUACUUAUUUUGAAACAUUGAACCUUGUAAUUGCCACAAUUCUGACCUUAUCAAACAAAUUGUGGGUUAACAAGACUCUGCUGUAAAGAUUAAUUUCUCAAUGAGUGCUUUGUCAUU